rnacentral:tRNA from 1 species
GGCAAAUUAAUAGUUAAAUAGGUAUUUAUAAGAGAUAAUAAAACAAGACUGAAAAUCCCUGUGUCCCUGGUUCGAUUCCAGGUGAAGCCACCA